UACGUAGGGUGCAAGCGUUGUCCGGAAUUAUUGGGCGUAAGGAGCUUGUAGGCGGUUUGUCGCGUCUGCUGUGAAAUUUCGGGGCUCAACCCCGAACUUGCAGUGGGUACGGGCAGACUAGAGUGUGGUAGGGGAGACUGGAAUUCCUGGUGUAGCGGUGAAAUGCGCAGAUAUCAGGAGGAACACCGAUGGCGAAGGCAGGUCUCUGGGCCAUAACUGACGCUGAGAAGCGAAAGCAUGGGGGAGCGAACAGG
rnacentral:rRNA from 1 species